CAUGACGUGAAAAACUCACCAUGUGGCCUUAACCGUUGCUUCAUGACCAGUGUUUCCCUACUUAGGCAAGUUGUUGAAACAUGCGUUCACGUCCAACUACAACAGUUGGAUAUCAGGAAAUGGCUUCUGCAAAUGAUUCUCCACUUUUCUCUCUUCGUGCCUAUCCCGUGUCGUGAAUGCACUGCAGCGUCCCCACCUUCUGGAAACGCGGUUGUACAUGCAGGGCUUUUUUGCUGCAUCUUUUGCCUGCCUGCCUGCUUGCCUUCCCACAGCUGACGCCUGCAUCUGAGUGCUAGUGACAAUGAGAGUGGUGGCAGUCAUCCAUGCGGAGCCAGGUGGCAGGCGGAGUGUGACUGCUACCACAAGGUUACAGCAGCACAUUAAUACUCAGAAACAGAGAGAAGGCUUGGAUGGACGACAAAGUCCAGCUGAAGCUCCAGGCCCAGGCUUCUGCAGUCAUUUACCAAUUGGCCAGCAAACAUGGUUGUCCCAAGGUCAUACAGAGGAGCAUAGGACAACUUCCGAAUGUACUAACAAUAAAGA